UAAGGGCGAUGCAAGAAGAAGAAAUUAUCUCUGGCAGAGAGCGCGGAACAGAUUGCUUCUCUCUUGAUCUGAGCUGGUCAGAAGAUAGUGCGACUUUUUCUUCCAGUCGAUAUCUUGUGAGAUUUGGCCUUUUACUCCGUUGUUACUGUCUCCUUCCUAGAGGGACUCCCCUUCCUGUUCAUUCUCCUUCUCCGUGAAAUAGAACUGUGUGUGCGCGUGGGGGAGGAGUUCAUGCACUACUUGACAGAAGAAAUGAGGGUCCCCAGCAAAGGGAACACAUUUCUUUAAUGGAAUCUGGGAAAGUAUUCACUCUGGAAAAGUAUUCCAGAAGUAUGGCUAAUCCUUCGACUGGCAGAGGACCUGAUCUGAAGUACAGGGACAAGGGAAAGAGCACCUGAAGAGAUCAAAGAGUUUUGUGACUUUGGGCACAAAGUUGCGUCUUGGUAAUGAAGUGAGGAAGGAAAAUGAACGUCUAAAUCUAUGCUAAUGAUAUAGGAUCAUUCUAUCAAGUGUCUGGAGGUGAAGCCACAAUCUUGCAACCACUGAGUACAGAAACUGAACGUUAAGGAUGGAGAAGUUGGAAGUGAAAAGGAGAUUGAGUUCUUAACUUUUUUAAUUUUUUUAAGUAGCUAGAGCUGCUAUUAUCUAUUUAUGGACUUCAUGUUAUACAAGAAAAAAACUUCUAUUUGCUGAAGCCACUGAGGUCAACCUUCUUUUAUAUGCAGCUGAACACAACAUAAACUGAGGGUCUACAUCUUUGACCUUUUUGAUCUUUGGUCUGUGAUUACAGCAGAAAUAGCCCUCUUCCCACAGAAUUUAUGUUAAUUUAGAUCUUUUUUCCAUGUUCCAUGGGAUCAACAAGGAGAUAGAACCAUUUUAACAAUUUGAACAAAGAAAAUGUAAAGAUUGUUAACCAAUAAAAGGUAUCUAUUAAGAAGAAUAAAGUGGUUUCUAAGAGGUGCAGAAGUAGCAACUGUCGGAAGAGCUACUACCCUUGGCUAAGGAUGAGUGAACAGAAAGGAAGACCUUAGAAAUUUAAAGAAGAGGGCAUGGCUGUCACAGGACAGUAUAGUCCCCCUGUGUUGAAGGAACUUGCUAGAGGCACCAGCCACAAGUGAACCGGGAAGACUGCUGAGGUCCACAAAACCAGGCUCCUCUUGGGAACCAAUCCAUGGGCUCCACACAGGAUGAAAGAAAAGUCAUUUCCUCCAGCUCUGGUCUCACAGGGUCUUUCCAUCGCCCUCUUCUGGCAAAGCCUAACAUUUUGCCAGUUGUCAAAGCAGAAAUGCUUGCAGAGUCUAGCUCUAGAAAUAACAAAGCAAAAGAAUGGAUUUAUAGCUGAGAAGUCAUAAGUUAAUAAAUGGCACAGAUGGUAAGAUUCUCAGGGGUUAGGUCUAAUUCACAUUUAGGUCUUCUACAGCACCUAACAGAGUGUUAAACAUAGUAGUCACUCAAUACAUUUUUACUCAAUAAAAUAUAAGGGGCUCAGUAUAUACAAAAUAAUUUGCAAUGUUUUUUUGUUCUCUUCUUUUGGCUAAGAUAUAUUCUCUUUGGCUCUUUGGGCAAAUUAGAAUGACCUCUAGAAUGCCUU